UCAGGACGAACGCUGGCGGCGUGCUUAACACAUGCAAGUCGAACGAUGAAGCCUUUCGGGGUGGAUUAGUGGCGAACGGGUGAGUAACACGUGGGCAAUCUGCCCUGCACUCUGGGACAAGCCCUGGAAACGGGGUCUAAUACCGGAUGAUACUUUUCCCUGCAUGGGGAAGGGUUGAAAGCUCCGGCGGUGCAGGAUGAGCCCGCGGCCUAUCAGCUUGUUGGUGGGGUGAUGGCCUACCAAGGCGACGACGGGUAGCCGGCCUGAGAGGGCGACCGGCCACACUGGGACUGAGACACGGCCCAGACUCCUACGGGAGGCAGCAGUGGGGAGUAUUGCACAAUGGGCGAAAGCCUGAUGCAGCGACGCCGCGUGAGGGAUGACGGCCUUCGGGUUGUAAACCUCUUUCAGCAGGGAAGAAGCGAAAGUGACGGUACCUGCAGAAGAAGCGCCGGCUAACUACGUGCCAGCAGCCGCGGUAAUACGUAGGGCGCAAGCGUUGUCCGGAAUUAUUGGGCGUAAAGAGCUCGUAGGCGGUUUGUCACGUCGGUUGUGAAAGCCCGGGGCUUAACUCCGGGUC
rnacentral:rRNA from 1 species